rnacentral:snoRNA from 1 species
UAUGAAACCAUCAACCAGUAUAUUUGUCUGUCCGCAUAUAUCCAACAUGUGAACGGUCUACUCUAAGCUGGGAUAUUAGAGUUCUCGUAACUCGAACAACUUAAGUUCUGUCGCGGCUGCUAUUUUCCAAGCUCCGGGACACUAUUGUCGUUCAAACAUGU